UACGGGGGGGGCAAGCGUUGUUCGGAAUUACUGGGCGUAAAGGGCGCGUAGGCGGGUGGACAAGUCUCUCGUGAAAGCCCACGGCUCAACCGUGGAAUUGCGGGAGAUACUGUCUGUCUUGAGUCCGGGAGAGGAGGGUGGAACUCCCAGUGUAGCGGUGAAAUGCGGAGAUAUUGGGAGGAACACCGGGGGCGCAGGCCGCGCCCUGGACCGGCGCUGACCCUGCCGCCCGAAAGACCGGGUUCCUAACCUG
rnacentral:rRNA from 1 species